UACGAAGGGGGCUAGCGUUGCUCGGAAUCACUGGGCGUAAAGGGUGCGUAGGCGGGUCUUUAAGUCAGGGGUGAAAUCCUGGAGCUCAACUCCAGAACUGCCUUUGAUACUGAGGAUCUUGAGUUCGGGAGAGGUGAGUGGAACUGCGAGUGUAGAGGUGAAAUUCGUAGAUAUUCGCAAGAACACCAGUGACGAAGGCGGCUCACUGGCCCGAUACUGACGCUGAGGCACGAAAGCGUGGGGAGCGAACAGG
rnacentral:rRNA from 1 species